rnacentral:rRNA from 1 species
UACGUAGGGACCAAGCGUUGUUCGGAUUUACUGGGCGUAAAGGGCGCGUAGGCGGCGAAUCAAGUCAGCUGUGAAAUCUCCGAGCUUAACUCGGAACGGUCAGCUGAUACUGUUUUGCUAGAGUGCAGAAAGGGCAACCGGAAUUCUUGGUGUAGCGGUGAAAUGCGUAGAUAUCGGGAGGAACACCUGUGGCGAAAGCGGCGCACUGGACCACAACUGACGCUGAGGCGCGAAAGCUAGGGGAGCAAACAGG